AACGAACGCUGGCGGCAUGCCUAACACAUGCAAGUCGAACGAGACCUUCGGGUCUAGUGGCGCACGGGUGCGUAACACGUGGGAAUCUGCCCUUUGCUUCGGAAUAACAGUUAGAAAUGACUGCUAAUACCGGAUGAUGUCGAAAGACCAAAGAUUUAUCGGCAAAGGAUGAGCCCGCGUAGGAUUAGGUAGUUGGUGGGGUAAAGGCCUACCAAGCCGACGAUCCUUAGCUGGUCUGAGAGGAUGAUCAGCCACACUGGGACUGAGACACGGCCCAGACUCCUACGGAGGGCAGCAGUGGGGAAUAUUGGACAAUGGGCGAAAGCCUGAUCCAGCAAUGCCGCGUGAGUGAUGAAGGCCUUAGGGUUGUAAAGCUCUUUUACCAGGGAUGAUAAUGACAGUACCUGGAGAAUAAGCUCCGGCUAACUCCGUG
rnacentral:rRNA from 1 species